rnacentral:rRNA from 1 species
CCUACGGGACGCAGCAGUGGGGAAUAUUGCACAAUGGGGGGAACCCUGAUGCAGCGACGCCGCGUGAGUGAAGAAGUAUUUCGGUAUGUAAAGCUCUGUCAGCAGGGAAGAAAAUGACGGUACCUGAGUAAGAAGCCCCGGCUAACUACAUGCCAGCAGCCGCGGUAAUACGUAGGGGGCAAGCGUUAUCCGGAUUUACUGGGUGUAAAGGGAGCGUAGACGGCCAGACAAGUCUGAAGUGAAAAUCCAGCGCUUAACGUUGGAAGUGCUUUGGAAACUGCCGGGCUGGAGUACAGGAGGGGCAG